CUUUGUUAUGGUCUUAGUCCAGCGUCCAGCAGACAGAUGUCUGUAUCUCAAAAACGACCACCACAAUUGACACAUCAACUUGAACGUGUAUUCUUACGUCUUGGCCAUGCAGAAACAGAUGAGCAGUUACAGAAUAUUAUAUCCAAAUUCCUACCCCCUGUCCUGCUCAAACUGUCCAGCACGCAGGAAGGAGUGCGUAAAAAGGUCAUGGAGCUCCUAGUUCACUUGAAUAAACGCAUCAAAAGUCGUCCAAAAAUUCAACUUCCAGUAGAGACUUUACUAGUCCAAUACCAAGAUCCCGCUGCAGUUUCCUUUGUCACCAAUUUUACUAUAAUUUAUGUUAAGAUGGGUUACCCUCGUUUGCCUGUGGAAAAACAAUGUGAAUUGGCGCCUACUCUCCUCACUGCAAUGGAAGGGAAACCACAACCACAGCAAGACAGCCUAAUGCAUCUUCUAAUACCAACCCUUUUUCACAUGAAAUAUCCUGUUGAACCAUCGAAAGCAGCUUCUCCAUUUAAUCUUGCCGAAAAACCAAAGACUGUACAGCUGCUCUUGGAGUUUAUGUUGGAUGUGCUCCUUAUGCCUUAUGGAUACGUACUGAAUGAAUCCCAGAGUCGCCAAAACGUGCCAUCGGCACAGGGCUCUUCUGCAUCCAGUAGUGCUGGAAGUUCGGGGAUCCCUCAACCUCCUCCAGGGAUGAGCUUUUACGCAGCCAAGCGGGUAAUUGGAGAUAGCCCAUGGACACCUGAACAGCUGGAACAGUGUAAACUGGGAAUAGUAAAGUUCAUUGAAGCUGAGCAGGUACCAGAGCUUGAAGCCGUCAUACACCUGGUAAUAGCCUCCAGCGACACACGACACAGUGUAGCCACUGCGGCAGACCUGGAACUGAAAAGCAAACAAAGCUUAAUUGACUGGAAUAAUCCUACUAUCGUCAACAAAAUGUACAAAGUGUACCUCGGGGAUAUACCACUGAAAACUAAAGAGGGAGUUGUUCUGAAGCCAGAACUGAAACGAGAUCCAGUCAGCACCCGGGUUAAAUUAAAGAUUGUUCCUCAUCUUCUGCGUUCCAGACAAGCUGCAGAAACAUUCCCAGCUAACAUUCAGGUGGUAUAUGAUGGACUCUUUGGUGCAAAUACAAACACGAAACUGAGAACUCUGUCCCUGCAGUUUGUACAUCAUAUUUGUACAAGUUGUCCAGAAAGUAAAAUAAAGCCACUAGGCCCAAUGCUUUUAAAUGGGCUUACGAAACUGAUUAAUGAAUACAAAGAGGACCCCAAACUGCUGUCAAUGGCCUAUUCAGCUGUUGGAAAACUGUCCAGUCGAAUGCCUCAGCUGUUUACCAAGGACAUAGCUCUUGUCCAGCAGUUUUUUGAAGCUUUGUGCAAGGAAGAGCCCGAUACCAGACUUGCUAUUCAGGAGGCCUUGUCUAUGAUGGUUGGAGCAUAUAGUAGUUUGGAAGGAGCACAGCGUACGCUUAUGGAGGCUCUUGUGGCUUCAUACCUAAUAAAGCCUGAAGUCCAAGUGCGUCAGGUGGCCGUGAAAUUUGCAAGCACAGUGUUCCCUUCAGAUCACAUCCCUUCCAGAUACUUACUGCUUUUAGCUGCAGGAGAUCCACGAGAGGAGGUGCAUGGAGAAGCCCAGCGCGUACUGAGAAUGUUUCCUGGUAAAAAUGAAAAGGAGAGUGCUGGUAAACAGAUGCCUUCCUUCCCAGAAAUGGUCCAUUACAUUCAAGACAAGGCCUCUCACCGAAUGAAAACUCCUGCUAAAUACAUGACCGGAACUGCAGUCCUGCCUUUCAAUCCUGCUACGUUUGGAGAGAUAGUCCUGUACCUGCGAAUGUGUCUUGCGCAUAGCGCAGGUGUGGUGCCAUCCUCUCAGAACUUAGCUGACAUGCAAGACCAUGCUCCAGCAAUUGGCCGUUAUAUCAGAAACCUCCUGUCUGGCAACUUCAUAUCUUCCUCCUCAUCGUCAUCUUCCUCAAAAAGUGGAGAAACCAACCCAGUGCAAAUCUAUAUUGGCCUUCUUCAGCAGCUGUUGUCUGGGGUUGGAGGUUUGCCAGUCAUGUAUUGUCUUCUAGAAGUUGUUUCGGUGUAUCCAGAAAAACUAGCUACCAGAUUUGCAGACAAAAUAGAUUGGAUAAAGAGUCUGAUGAAUACAAACAAGGAAGAGAUGCGUGAGCUGGCAGCACUGUUGUAUUCUGUAGUGUUGUCUACAAUGUCUGGAAAUGAACUGAAGUCCUCUGUACAGCAACUGAUCAAGACAGCAAAAGACAAUCAUAACCCGGAGAUCCAACAUGGAUCCUUGUUGGCUUUGGGAUUCACAGUAGGAAGGUACCUGGCCAAAAGGAAAACCAGAAUGAUGGAGAUGCAUGACAUUGAAGAGCCAAAUAUUGUUGUCAUGCCAGAACAAGACCAGCUCAUAAAGACCACAACAGAAACAAUAGGUUCCUUUUUGGACAGCACCUCUCCGCUCCUGGCAGUUGCUGCUUGUACAGCACUGGGGGAAAUUGGCAGGAACGGCCCCUUGCCAAUUCCCAACGAAGGCACCGGGUUUACAAAGCUGCAUCUUGUUGAGAGUUUACUGACCAGAAUCCCUUCUGGCAAGGAAACAAAUAAGAUGAAAGAACGAGCGAUACAAACACUGGGUUACUUUCCAGUGGGAGAUGGAGACUUUCCCCACCAGAAACUACUGUUGCAAGGACUAAUGGAUUCUGUGGAGGCCAAGCAAAUAGAACUUCAGUUCACCGUUGGUGAAGCCAUUACCAGUGCCGCAAUAGGAACCAGCUCAGUGGCUGCCCGUGAUGCUUGGAUGGUCACCGAGGAAGAGUAUACUCCUCCUGCAGAUGUGAAAGUGAACGACGUGGUCCCCUGGGUUUUGGACCUCAUUUUGAAUAAGCACAUUGUCAGCCCUAACCCCCACGUCAGGCAGGCAGCCUGCAUCUGGCUUUUGUCACUGGUGAAGAAGCUGAGCACACACAAAGAAAUUAAGUCUCAUCUCAAGGAGAUUCAAAGUGCAUUUGUUUCAGUUCUGUCUGAUAAUGAUGAACUUAGCCAAGACGUUGCUUCAAAAGGCCUUGGACUAGUGUAUGAACUAGGUAGUGAACAAGAUCAACAGGAGCUGGUCACCACGCUUGUUGAUACGCUUAUGACUGGGAAAAGGGUCAAACAUGAAGUGACUGGAGAGACAGUGGUGUUCCAGGGAGCCCUUGGCAAAACCCCAGAUGGUCAGGGUCUCUCUACCUACAAGGAGCUUUGUUCACUGGCUAGUGACCUCAGCCAACCAGACCUGGUGUACAAAUUCAUGAAUCUGGCCAACCACCAUGCCAUGUGGAACUCGCGCAAGGGAGCAGCGUUUGGUUUCAACGUGAUCGCUACAAAGGCUGGAGAGCAACUGGCUCCGUUUUUGCCCCAGCUGGUUCCCCGUCUCUAUCGUUACCAGUUUGACCCCAACAUGGGCAUUCGACAGGCUAUGACCAGCAUUUGGAACGCGCUUGUCACCGACAAAUCUGCAAUUGAUAAAUACAUGAAGGAGAUUCUGGAUGAUCUGCUCAACAACCUGACCAGCAACAUGUGGAGGAUCAGAGAAUCCAGCUGUCUAGCACUGAAUGACUUAUUAAGAGGCCGACCACUGGAUGACAUUAUUGAUAAACUUCCGGAAAUCUGGGAAACCCUGUUCCGAGUGCAAGAUGAUAUUAAGGAGUCUGUACGAAAAGCAGCAGAACUAGCCCUGAAAACGUUAAGUAAGGUGUGUGUGAAAAUGUGCGACCCCGCCAAAGGCGCAGCGGGCCAGAGAACUAUAGCGGUGUUACUGCCCUGCCUGCUGGACAAAGGAAUGAUGAGCACAGUGACUGAAGUUCGGGCUCUGAGCAUUAACACUCUUGUGAAGAUCAGUAAAAGUGCUGGUGUUAUGCUGAAGCCUCACGCGCCAAAGCUCAUCCCAGCUUUGCUGGAGUCCUUAAGCGUGUUGGAACCCCAGGUUCUCAAUUAUUUGAGUCUCCGCGCUACGGAUCAGGAGAAAGCUGCAAUGGAUAGUGCAAGACUUAGUGCUGCUAAAUCAUCUCCCAUGAUGGAAACAAUUAAUAUGUGCUUGCAGUAUCUGGAUGUGUCUGUCCUGGGGGAGCUGGUUCCUAGGCUGUGUGAGCUGAUCAAAAGUGGAAUAGGCCUGGGCACUAAGGUAUGUGUGCAAAUCAAUCCUGUCUCUUUUCAAACAGGCAAACUCAUGAGUGCUUUACUCAGUGGGCUGACUGAUCGCAACAGCGUGGUGCAGAAGUCUUUUGCAUUUGCUAUGGGGCAUCUAGUUCGGACCUCCCGGGAUAGUAGCACUGAGAAACUACUGCAGAAGCUCAACAGCUGGUACAUGGAGAAGGAAGAACCAGUCUAUAGGAUAGGCUGUGCUUUAACUGUUCAUGCCAUCGGGCGCUACAGCCCGGACGUGUUGAAGAACCAUGCCAAACAGGUCUUACCUCUGGCAUUUCUGGGCAUGCACGAGGUUCCAGAUGAAGAGAAAGGAGAGAAAGAUGAUUCUAAUCUGUGGACCGAAGUGUGGCAGGAAAAUGUACCUGGCACUUAUGGUGGCAUUAGAUUGUAUAUGCAGGAGUUGAUCGCAAUUACCCAGAAGGCUCUGCAGUCCCAGUCUUGGAAGAUGAAAGCCCAGGGAGCGGCUGCCAUGGCCUCUAUUGCCAAACAAACUGGUUCCCUGGUACCGCCCCAUCUGGGAAUGGUGGUUGAUGCAUUGUUGCAAGGUCUGUCUGGAAGAACGUGGGCAGGAAAGGAGGAGCUGCUGAAAGCUAUCGCCAGCGUCGUCUCUGCAUGCAGUGUAGAGUUGCAGAAGUCUGUGCCCAAUCAGCCCAGCGUCAAUGAUGUUGUCCAGGCUGUCCUGAAAGAGUGUCGCAAAGAGAACCUCAAGUACAAGAUGGUAGCGCUCCGAUGUACGGCAGACGUGCUGAAGGCGACAAAGGAAGACCGUUUCCAGGAGCUGGCGGACAUCGUCUUUCCGAUGAUAAAGAAGAAUUCUCAUGAGAGCGUAGGAGCUGGUUCACCAAAGAAUGAUGAUGACGAGAAUGAAAAAGAAAAGGAGCUUCAGAUGGAAUCUCUGCUCUGUGCCUUUGAGAGUUUGGGCAAGGCCUGGCCUAGGAAUCUGGAGACACAGCGCUGCUAUUGGCAAGAGCUGUGCAAAUUAAUGUGUGAGCGUCUGAAACUCAGUACGUGGAAAGUGCAGCUUGGAGUGCUACAGGCCAUGAACGCCUAUUUUCAAGGGUUAAUGCUUUUUGAAGAGGCGCACUCAGACCCUGGGGCUUUGACAGAAAUCCUGUUGGAAACCUGCUCAUCCAUCACACACUCUUUAGAAAAUAGGAGCUACACCUCCAUCAGAACAGAAGCGUUGUCUGUGAUAGAACUGCUGCUUACCAGACUUAAAGAGUCUAAACAAUGGGACAGCCUGCCACUGGAAAGUAGAGCGCUCCUCAUUGGCUCACUUACUACCAUGGUAUUGGACAGCAGACCUGAGCUGCAAGAGAAAGCAUCUUUAUUGAAGAAAACACUUGAAAACCUUGACUAAAUUGUAAAACACCAACAGCAAAGUGCCAUGUAAAACAAAAACAAGUGCAGUGUGAUCCGAAAACCAAGUGGGGAAAUGAAGAUUAAUCUGUAGCAUGCAUCAUUCCUUGGCCAAAAUAAAAAAUGCCUUAAAUUCUGUUCCCCA
ensembl:lncRNA